GAAGCUGGAUUCGCUAGUAAUCGCGCAUCAGCCACGGCGCGGUGAAUACGUUCCCGGGCCUUGUACACACCGCCCGUCAAGCCAUGGAAGCCGGGAGUGCCUGAAGUACGCGACCGCAAGGAGCGUCCUAAGGUAAAACCGGUGACUGGGGCUAAGUCGUAACAAGGUACC
rnacentral:rRNA from 1 species